AGUGAACGCUGGCGGCAGGCCUAACACAUGCAAGUCGAACGGCAGCACAGAGGAGCUUGCUCCUUGGGUGGCGAGUGGCGGACGGGUGAGGAAUACAUCGGAAUCUGCCUUAUCGUGGGGGAUAACGUAGGGAAACUUACGCUAAUACCGCAUACGACCUACGGGUGAAAGCGGAGGACCUUCGGGCUUCGCGCGAUAAGAUGAGCCGAUGUCGGACUAGCUAGUUGGCGGGGUAAAGGCCCACCAAGGCGACGAUCCGUAGCUGGUCUGAGAGGAUGAUCAGCCACACUGGAACUGAGACACGGUCCAGACUCCUACGGGAGGCAGCAGUGGGGAAUCUUGCGCAAUGGAACGAAAGUCUGACGCAGCGACGCCGCGUGAGUGAUGAAGGCCC
rnacentral:rRNA from 1 species